GGCUCGGUGGUCCAGGGCUGUGAUUCUCGCUUUGGGUGCGAGAGGUCCCGGGUUCAAAUCCCGGCCGGGCUC
rnacentral:tRNA from 1 species